rnacentral:rRNA from 1 species
GAAAAGAACCCCGGCGAGGGGAGUGAAAAAGAACCUGAAACCGUGUACGUACAAGCAGUGGGAGCCUCUUUAUGGGGUGACUGCGUACCUUUUGUAUAAUGGGUCAGCGACUUAUAUUCUGUAGCAAGGUUAACCGAAUAGGGGAGCCGAAGGGAAACCGAGUCUUAACUGGGCGUUAAGUUGCAGGGUAUAGACCCGAAACCCGGUGAUCUAGCCAUGGGCAGGUUGAAGGUUGGGUAACACUAACUGGAGGACCGAACCGACUAAUGUUGAAAAAUUAGCGGAUGACUUGUGGCUGGGGGUGAAAGGCCAAUCAAACCGGGAGAUAGCUGGUUCUCCCCGAAAGCUAUUUAGGUAGCGCCUCGUGAAUUCAUCUCCGGGGGUAGAGCACUGUUUCGGCAAGGGGGUCAUCCCGACUUACCAACCCGAUGCAAACUGCGAAUACCGGAGAAUGUUAUCACGGGAGACACACGGCGGGUGCUAACGUCCGUCGUGAAGAGGGAAACAACCCAGACCGCCAGCUAAGGUCCCAAAGUCAUGGUUAAGUGGGAAACGAUGUGGGAAGGCCCAGACAGCCAGGAUGUUGGCUUAGAAGCAGCCAUCAUUUAAAGAAAGCGUAAUAGCUCACUGGUCGAGUCGGCCUGCGCGGAAGAUGUAACGGGGCUAAACCAUGCACCGAAGCUGCGGCAGCGACACUAUGUGUUGUUGGGUAGGGGAGCGUUCUGUAAGCCUGUGAAGGUGUACUGUGAGGUAUGCUGGAGGUAUCAGAAGUGCGAAUGCUGACAUAAGUAACGAUAAAGCGGGUGAAAAGCCCGCUCGCCGGAAGACCAAGGGUUCCUGUCCAACGUUAAUCGGGGCAGGGUGAGUCGACCCCUAAGGCGAGGCCGAAAGGCGUAGUCGAUGGGAAACAGGUUAAUAUUCCUGUACUUGGUGUUACUGCGAAGGGGGGACGGAGAAGGCUAUGUUGGCCGGGCGACGGUUGUCCCGGUUUAAGCGUGUAGGCUGGUUUUCCAGGCAAAUCCGGAAAAUCAAGGCUGAGGCGUGAUGACGAGGCACUACGGUGCUGAAGCAACAAAUGCCCUGCUUCCAGGAAAAGCCUCUAAGCAUCAGGUAACAUCAAAUCGUACCCCAAACCGACACAGGUGGUCAGGUAGAGAAUACCAAGGCGCUUGAGAGAACUCGGGUGAAGGAACUAGGCAAAAUGGUGCCGUAACUUCGGGAGAAGGCACGCUGAUAUGUAGGUGAAGCGACUUGCUCGUGGAGCUGAAAUCAGUCGAAGAUACCAGCUGGCUGCAACUGUUUAUUAAAAACACAGCACUGUGCAAACACGAAAGUGGACGUAUACGGUGUGACGCCUGCCCGGUGCCGGAAGGUUAAUUGAUGGGGUUAGCGGUAACGCGAAGCUCUUGAUCGAAGCCCCGGUAAACGGCGGCCGUAACUAUAACGGUCCUAAGGUAGCGAAAUUCCUUGUCGGGUAAGUUCCGACCUGCACGAAUGGCGUAAUGAUGGCCAGGCUGUCUCCACCCGAGACUCAGUGAAAUUGAACUCGCUGUGAAGAUGCAGUGUACCCGCGGCAAGACGGAAAGACCCCGUGAACCUUUACUAUAGCUUGACACUGAACAUUGAGCCUUGAUGUGUAGGAUAGGUGGGAGGCUUUGAAGUGUGGACGCCAGUCUGCAUGGAGCCGGCCUUGAAAUACCACCCUUUAAUGUUUGAUGUUCUAACGUUGGCCCCUGAUCGGGGUUGCGGACAGUGUCUGGUGGGUAGUUUGACUGGGGCGGUCUCCUCCUAAAGAGUAACGGAGGAGCACGAAGGUUGGCUAAUCCUGGUCGGACAUCAGGAGGUUAGUGCAAUGGCAUAAGCCAGCUUGACUGCGAGCGUGACGGCGCGAGCAGGUGCGAAAGCAGGUCAUAGUGAUCCGGUGGUUCUGAAUGGAAGGGCCAUCGCUCAACGGAUAAAAGGUACUCCGGGGAUAACAGGCUGAUACCGCCCAAGAGUUCAUAUCGACGGCGGUGUUUGGCACCUCGAUGUCGGCUCAUCACAUCCUGGGGCUGAAGUAGGUCCCAAGGGUAUGGCUGUUCGCCAUUUAAAGUGGUACGCGAGCUGGGUUUAGAACGUCGUGAGACAGUUCGGUCCCUAUCUGCCGUGGGCGCUGGAGAACUGAGGGGGGCUGCUCCUAGUACGAGAGGACCGGAGUGGACGCAUCACUGGUGUUCGGGUUGUCAUGCCAAUGGCACUGCCCGGUAGCUAAAUGCGGAAGAGAUAAGUGCUGAA